rnacentral:tRNA from 1 species
GGGGUUGUGGCUCAAUGGUGGAGCGCUUGCCUUCCAUGCAUGGGGCACUGGGGUCGAUCCUCAGCACCACA